AACACGCUGGAGCCCGCCAGGGGCGGAAACGUCACUGGUGGGUAACAUCCGCCGUCCUUUGUAUAAUUUACCUUUGUUGCUUUGGCAGGCCGCCCUCGGGCCAGCGGCUUCGGCUGUUGAGUGCCCGCCAGAGGACCACAACUCUUGUUUUUAGUGAUGUCUGAGUACUAUAUAAUAGUUA
rnacentral:misc_RNA from 1 species